rnacentral:rRNA from 1 species
AUGGGGCCCGCAGUCGGAGCGGCAGACGGCAUCACGCGCGAGGAGGAGUCAGCGCGCGGUCGCGGAGGUGCAGGUGCUCGGCGGAGAUGGACGAGGCGAGCCGGGGCUGGUCGGGGCGGAGCCGUAGGCGCACGGGGACAGCCGAACCGGGCGCAGCGCGGGAGGAGCCGGACCCGGACGACACAACGGCGCGGAGGACGUGGGCUGCACAGCCGCGGACCAGGGCGGUCUUGCGCGAUGGAGAAGGGAGCCGCUGAGGGGGGCCGGAGAGGCACGUCCAGGCGCGAAGCGAGCCGGUGGAGCGCGGUUGUGGCACGGGAAACAGAGGCGAGCCGGCACGGCCGCGCGCCCGCGCGAGUGGAGAAGAACAGAGGCGCGCGUCAUGUACCGCUGUGUGCCAUGAGCCGUGCUAGCUAG